UGCAUUCGCUACUGUAAGUUGCUCUGGAUAAGAGCGUCUGCUAAAUGACUCAAA
rfam:Salmo salar isolate Sally breed double haploid chromosome ssa19, whole genome shotgun sequence.